UGGGGAAUAUUGGACAAUGGACCGAGAGCCUGAUCCAGCAAUUCUGUGUGCACGAUGAAGUUUUUCGGAAUGUAAAGUGCUUUCAGUUGGGAAGAAAAAAAUGACGGUACCAACAGAAGAAGUGACGGCUAAAUACGUGCCAGCAGCCGCGGUAAUACGUAUGUCACGAGCGUUAUCCGGAUUUAUUGGGCGUAAAGCGCGUCUAGGUGGUUAUGUAAGUCUGAUGUGAAAAUGCAGGGCUCAACUCUGUAUUGCGUUGGAAACUGUAUAACUAGAGUACUGGAGAGGUAAGCGGAACUACAAGUGUAGAGGUGAAAUUCGUAGAUAUUUGUAGGAAUGCCGAUGGGGAAGCCAGCUUACUGGACAGAUACUGACGCUAAAGCGCGAAAGCGUGGGUAGCAAACAGGAUUAGAUACCCUGGUAGUCCACGCUGUAAACGAUGAUUACUAGGUGUUGGGGGUCGAACCUCAGCGCCCAAGCAAACGCGAUAAGUAAUCCGCCUGGGGAGUACGUACGCAAGUAUG
rnacentral:rRNA from 1 species